rnacentral:rRNA from 1 species
CCAAUAGCGUAUAUUAAAGUUGUUGCAGUUAAAAAGCUCGUAGUUGAAUUUCGGGGUUAGUAGGUUGGUCGUGCCACUGGUAUGUACUGGUUCUACUGAUCCCUCCUUCUUGUAGAACCGUUAUGCCAUUAAUUUGGUGUUGCGGGGAAACAGGACUGUUACUUUGAAAAAAUUAGAGUGUUUAAAGCAGGCUAACGCUUGAAUACAUUAGCAUGGAAUAAUGAAAUAGGACGAUCGAUCCUAUUUUGUUGGUUUCUAGGAUUGACGUAAUGAUUAAUAGGGAUAGUUGGGGGCAUUAGUAUUCAAUUGUCAGAGGUGAAAUUCUUGGAUUUAUUGAAGACUAACUACUGCGAAAGCAUUUGCCAAGGAUGUUCUCAUUAAUCAAGAACGAAAGUUAGGGGAUCGAAGACGAUCAGAUACCGUCGUAGUCUUAACCAUAAACUAUGCCGACUAGGGAUCGGAUGAUGUUAAUUUUUUAAUGACUCAUUCGGCGCCUUACG